CCUACGGGAGGCAGCAGUGGGGAAUAUUGGGCAAUGGGCGCAAGCCUGACCCAGCAACGCCGCGUGAAGGAAGAAGGCUUUCGGGUUGUAAACUUCUUUUGACAGGGAAGAGUAGAAGACGGUACCUGUCCAAUAAGCCACGGCUAACUACGUGCCAGCAGCCGCGGUAAUACGUAGGUGGCAAGCGUUGUCCGGAUUUACUGGGUGUAAAGGGCGUGUAGGCGGGUUGACAAGUCAGAUGUGAAAUGCUGCGGCUUAACCGCAGAACUGCCUUUGAAACUGUUGGUCUUGAGUGCUGGAGAGGCAGGCGGAAUUCCUAGUGUAGCGGUGAAAUGCGUAGAUAUUAGGAGGAACACCAGUGGCGAAGGCGGUCUGCUGGACAGCAACUGACGGUGAGGCGCGAAAGCGUGGGGAGCAAACAGGAUUAGAUACCCUAGUAGUC
rnacentral:rRNA from 1 species